GCAGCAGCACAACCUUCCUGCCCUGGCACUGAUAUUUGUGUUGCAUUAGCAUUAAUUAAUUAGCAUAAUGAGAAACAACCACAAAGCAUUGUAGGGGGUUGGGAGAGUUUAAGACAGAAGUGGAUGAAUCCCUGGUGUUGCAGGUCCUGGCAGCAAGAUCUGAUCCCUCCACUGUCAGUUCUCUCCCUGCAGAAAUCCCAGUGCCCCGUGCCCAGCCCGGGAGCUGAGGAACAGGGAGCUGAGGAAUGUACAGCUGCACUCAACGGGAUCAGGGCACCUCUCCAGGCAGGACUAUUGCUGGGGUGGCUGGGACUCAGAUGAUAAAGGCAAGUAAGAAGGGCUGUGUGUCCCUGGAGCAAGGGCCAGAGUUCCACAUGCAGACAUGGCCACUGCAGUGGUCACAAAGCAGUUCUUGACAGCCCUGAAUCCUCAGCUCCACAAUAAACAUUUCAUUCAGCUUAAGGAAGUACUGGGGGGGGGGUGUUUGGGGGGGAUUUUGAGGAAAGCUUUGGAAUAAGAGUGGCUGAGGCAAAAACAAAACCAAAUUUGGGGCUUCUGCAACAGAUGGCUGAAAGCCACAGCACUGAUAAUACAGUAAAUUACUGUGAUUACACAAUUGUUUCCAAACCUUUGAAAAGGUUUAGAAACCCUAAUAGGAAGCCCUGGUUUAGGACCAACUUCCAUUCUCAGCCAGGAAGAGACCUUGCUCUGGCAGAACAUUUCCUGCUCUGGCAGUGGAUGGUGGCUGCUCCGGCAGGGAACCACCCAUGGAAGUGGCUUGGGAUGUUCUCCAUGAAUAGUUGUUCACAUGUUCCAGCUUCAGCAAGGUCAAGCUCUGCGAACACAAACUCUGGCAAGCCUAAAACCUUGGAGAGACUUUACAAAAAAAUGAAGCAAUGUUUCAGCACCUCCUGUGAAGCCAAGAGUGAAGAGUCAUCACAGCAAAACUUCUGAACAGAAAUUGUGAAGUUUGUUUUGUGGUAAAAAUCCCCACUGCCACUGAAGAAGCGACCACCAGCCAUGGCCCAGCUCUGAAGUCCUAGAUGGAAUUCCAGUCACUGGAGCUCCUGGCCUUCACCAUGGCACCAGCUCAAAAUCCAGAUGAAAAGAUUUGGAUGCAAAAACCCUCAGUUAUCAUCCCACCAGCUGCAGUUCUAGUUGGGCAUUGUCUCUCAUUAAAUCCUAUCUGAAAAAG